GGAAAAGGAGAGAGAAAAAAGAGAAAGAAGAAGAAGAGAAGGAGAGGAAGAAGAAAGGAAAGAAGGGAGAGGAAGAUGGAACCAAGAAUAGAGAGAGAGGAGAGAAGAGAACGACGGAAGCGGCUGGAAAAGUCACCGUCGGCGAGAAAAUUCCGGUGAUCGGAAAAAGCAAAGGGAGAUUGAGCAAAUGGGAGAUAUAGGGCAGGUGUGGGGUUGGGGCUAUGGAGGUGCGGGACAGCUUGGUUUGGGUUCCCGGAUACGUGUGGUCUCCUCUCCUCAUCCUAUACCGUGCAUUGAGUGCUCCUCUUAAAUGAAAGAUAGAUCUGCCGCCUUUUCUUGGGGAAGCAUGUGUUCUGAGGGACCAGAUUUUAGAGUUCCUGGAAAUUAUGUGAAGGCAAUUGCUUGUGGAGGGUGACAUCAUGUAGUAAUCACAGGAAAUUCUGGGCAAGGUUAUACUCUUCAUGUCGUUAGUGUAGCUGCUGGUGAGGUUGUGAAAAUGCAAGAGUACUUUUUUGGUAAAGCACAAUUUGGAAUGGAAGAUGGUAUGCAUGAUGGUUUUUGUUGUUAGAAUUUUUUGAAUGAUUGGAAGGUAUUAACUAUUACUCAUAGUUAAUUUUCCAAUCAUCUAGGUAUUAUAAUGUAAAAAUGAUAGGUGCAUAUUUGUUGGGCAUAUAUAAAACUUUUUGUAUAUGAAGGUUUAUAUGUUACAAAAUGUAAUAUGAUAUAUGAAGCAUAUUAGAUUUUAUGGAUGUAAAGGAUG